rnacentral:rRNA from 1 species
GCAAGUCGAACGAGAAGUACUUCAUUGAUUCUUCGGGUGAUUUGUUGAACAGAAAGUGGCGAAAGGGUGAGUAACGCGUGAGCAACCUGCCUCUAUGUCGGGGACAACAGUUGGAAACGACUGCUAAUACCGGAUGUGGCUUCUUAACCGCAUGUUUUAGAAGCUAAAGAUUUAUUGCAUAGAGAUAGGCUCGCGUUCCAUUAGCUAGUUGGUGAGGUAACGGCUCACCAAGGCGACGAUGGAUAGGUGGUCUGAGAGGACGAUC